UACGUAGGGUGCGAGCGUUGUCCGGAAUUAUUGGGCGUAAAGGGCUCGUAGGCGGUUUGUCGCGUCGGGAGUGAAAACAUCCAGCUUAACUGGGUGCUUGCUUUCGAUACGGGCAGACUAGAGGUAUGCAGGGGAGAACGGAAUUCCCGGUGUAGAGGUGAAAUUCGUAGAGAUCGGGAGGAACACCGGUGGCGAAGGCGGCAUCCUGGACCGGCAUUGACGCUGAGGCGCGAAAGCCAGGGGAGCAAACGGG
rnacentral:rRNA from 1 species